ensembl:lncRNA
AUAUUGAGCUUCAACCCUCCUCUACCUCUAGACCCUAGAAAUAAGGUGUGUGUGUCGGGGGAGGGGGGGGGCGGUGCCGUACACGCCUUCGCAGCCCGCUCGUGUUGGCGAGGUAGGUGGGGGGAGGCGCUCGGAAACUUCGCGAGGGGUCACAGGGCUCCAAGGCGCCCGGAUCCAAGACUUCUCCAGGUCAUGUGCGUGUGAAGGCCCGAGGAACGUCAGUUACAACCCCACCCGAACUCCGCGCUGCGGCUUCCCGCCUGGAACAAAGGCAGGCUCCCCACCCUGGUCUGCGUCUGAAUAUCGCAGGCACGCAGGAAUUGAGGAAGCCUCCACUCUCUCCCGUGACCGAGAGAAAGGGCAGAGCCACGAAGGCUGCGUUUAGCACUGCCCCGCUUCCUGCGCGGAGCGGCCGGGGCCGGGCUCUUUCAUCCCGGCUCCUGCGCCUGAGGGUGCGGCCGUGCCUCUCCCACCGGCCCGCACCGCUGCCG